GUACUGUUGAAGAGUCCCAAACUAGGACGAAACGGCUGUCCAAUAC
rnacentral:hammerhead_ribozyme from 1 species